rnacentral:rRNA from 1 species
AAUAGAUACCCCGGUAGUCCACGCCGUAAACGAUGAGUGCUAAGUGUUGGGGGGUUUCCGCCCCUCAGUGCUGCAGCUAACGCAUUAAGCACUCCGCCUGGGGAGUACGGUCGCAAGACUGAAACUCAAAGGAAUUGACGGGGGCCCGCACAAGCGGUGGAGCAUGUGGUUUAAUUCGAAGCAACGCGAAGAACCUUACCAGGUCUUGACAUCCCGGUGACCACUAUGGAGACAUAGUUUCCCCUUCGGGGGCAACGGUGACAGGUGGUGCAUGGUUGUCGUCAGCUCGUGUCGUGAGAUGUUGGGUUAAGUCCCGCAACGAGCGCAACCCUUAUUCUUAGUUGCCAUCAUUCAGUUGGGCACUCUAAGGAGACUGCCGGUGAUAAACCGGAGGAAGGUGGGGAUGACGUCAAAUCAUCAUGCCCCUUAUGACCUGGGCUACACACGUGCUACAAUGGACGGUACAAACGGUUGCCAACCCGCGAGGGGGGAGCUAAUCCGGAUAAAAACCGGUUCUCAGUUCGGAUUGUAGGCUGCAACUCGCCUACA